GGAGGAGGACGAGGACGUGGCACAGGAGGCGAAGCAACUAGCCGUUCCUCGCCGUCGUCGCGAGAGGAACCGUCGAGAGUGUGCUCUGGUGCGUCGCAGGGAGGGAGGAGGAGGGGAGGGAGGCUCGAAAGGGAGGAAAGACGACGUCGACGACGAGGAAGAAGGAACGGAAGAAGAGAGGCGGCGGACGAGGAGGUGGAAGACGAGGAAGAAGAAAAGGAAGUGGUGCCACAGCACGAAGAAGAGGGGAUCGCCACCACCGGGGCAGAGGCUCGAACGCAUGUAGGAACAUGGCCGCAUCCAGCCCCUGCCUCCCUCUAGAGGUUGGCAGCGCAAGAGGCGACACAAAGGGACGCUGGAUACGCGAGUCAGUAUUACGGGAG